rnacentral:rRNA from 1 species
UAGAGUUUUGGAUCCUGGCUCAGGAUGAACGCUGGCGGUCUGCUUAACACAUGCAAGUCGAACGGAAUCCUUCGGGAUUUAGUGGCGGACGGGUGAGUAACACGUGAGAAUCUGCACUCAGGAUGGGGACAACAGCGGGAAACUGCUGCUAAUACCCAAUGUGCCGAAAGGUAAAAGAUUUAUCGCCUGAGAAUGAGCUCGCGGCCGAUUAGUUAGUUGGUGGGGUAAUGGCCUACCAAGACGGCGAUCGGUAGCUGGUCUGAGAGGAUGAGCAGCCACACUGGGACUGAGACACGGCCCAGACUCCUACGGGAGGCAGCAGUGGGGAAUUUUCCGCAAUGGGCGCAAGCCUGACGGAGCAAGACCGCGUGGGGGAGGAAGGCUCUUGGGUUGUAAACCCCUUUUCUCAGGGAAGAAGUUCUGACGGUACCUGAGGAAUCAGCCUCGGCUAACUCCGUGCCAGCAGCCGCGGUAAUACGGAGGAGGCAAGCGUUAUCCGGAAUUAUUGGGCGUAAAGCGUCCGUAGGUGGUGGGGCAAGUCGGCGGUUAAAGACUGGGGCUUAACUCCAGAAAGGCCGUGGAAACUGCACCACUAGAGGGCAGUAGGGGUAGAGGGAAUUCCCGGUGUAGCGGUGAAAUGCGUAGAGAUCGGGAAGAACACCAGUGGCGAAAGCGCUCUACUGGACUGCAACUGACACUCAGGGACGAAAGCUAGGGGAGCGAAUGGGAUUAGAUACCCCAGUAGUCCUAGCCGUAAACGAUGAUCGUAGGGUUCGCC